rnacentral:rRNA from 1 species
UACGUAGGGGGCAAGCGUUGUCCGGAAUCAUUGGGCGUAAAGCGCGUGUAGGCGGCCCGAUAAGUCCGCUGUGAAAGUCCAGGGCUCAACCCUGGGAUGCCGGUGGAUACUGUCGGGCUCGAGUCCGGAAGAGGAGUGUGGAAUUCCUGGUGUAGCGGUGAAAUGCGCAGAUAUCAGGAGGAACAACCAAUAGGCGAAGGCAGCAGC